CAGGAUCACGGUUAUUUUUUUUUAGAGAUGGUAGUGUUUCAUUUACUAAGGGUAGUGCGUGUUUAAGUAGUUUUUUGGGGAUAGGGUCUAGUAAGGCAAAUUGAUAAUUUAGAUGAGAUCAGGGAGGUCAAUGGGUGUGAAAGAUUCUAGGAGUGCAGCAGGUUGUGGGGGUGUCACAGAGGUAGUCAUGGUGAUUCUAGGAGUGCAGCAGGUUGUGGGGGUGUUAAGAGGUAGUCAUGGUGCAUCCUGGAAGGGCUAUAGGGUCAUGGAGGGGGAGGAGUCUGAAUUUGUUCUCUUAUUGUUCAAAAUGUGUUAUUGAAAAAGCUCAUGAAAUUGUUUCUGCUACAGGCUAUAAACAGACUGUUCUAUUGUAUUGUGUUUUUUUGUUAGUCUAGACAUGGUCUUCAAGAGACACCUUGGGUUGUUUUUUAUUAUUUUCAAUCAAUGAAGAAUAGUAAGCUGAUUUCACAUCAGAAAGUGCUCUUUUAUAGCUUACAAGACAAGUUUGGUGGUGUACCAUUUUUUCUCUAGUUUCCGAGUCAUUUGUUUAAGUGCAUGAGUCUGGUCAGUGUACCAUGGAGCGAGUCUUUUUCUGUUCGCUUAUUCUCUUUUUCAGUGGUGCAACAGUGUCAAGGGUUGAGCGAAGCACACAUAUGAAACCAUUUGUUAGUAGGUCGUUAUGAGGUAGGGAUGUGCUUACGCCACUUUCAGUGUUUACAUGUCAUGUAAACAUUUUGUGUUGACAUGUUGGCAAAACCCAAUAGAGUGUGUUAGUGAUUGGAAUGUGAUUGCAAGGCUAUGGUUUUCAUUGUCCAUGUGAAUAUCAAAAUCUCCCACUGUGGGGAUUUUUAUCAGAGUUUAUAACCAAGGUGGGUAGGAAGUCAGAGAACUC
ensembl:lncRNA